rnacentral:rRNA from 1 species
AGAGUUCGAUUAUGGCUCAGAACGAACGCUGGCGGCAUGCCUCAUACAUGCAAGUCGAACGAAGCCUUCGGGCUUAGUGGCGCACGGGUGAGUAACAUGUGGGAAUCUACCUAAAGGUUCGGAAUAACUGCGGGAAACUGUAGCUAAUACCGGAUGUGUCUGCAAAGAGAAAGAUUUAUCGCCUUUAGAUGAGCCCGCACUAGAUUAGCUAGUUGGUGAGGUAACUGCUCCACCAAGGCUACGAUCUAUAGCUGAUUUGAGAGGAUGAUCAGCCACACUGGGACUGAGACACGGCCCAGACUCCUACGGGAGGCAGCAGUAGGGAAUAUUGGACAAUGGGGGAAACCCUGAUCCAGCAAUGCCGCGUGAGUGAAGAAGGCCUUCGGGUUGUAAAACUCUUUCAUCAAUGAUGAUAAUGACAUUAGUUGAAGAAGAAGCUCCGGCUAACUUCGUGCCAGCAGCCGCGGUAAUACGAGGGGGCUAGCGUCGUUCGGAAUCACUGGGCGUAAAGCGUAUGUAGGCGGAUCAAAAAGUUAGAUGUGAAAUCCCUGGGCUCAACCCAGGAACUGCAUUUAAAACUAGUGAUCUAGAAAUUGGUAAAGGUUAGUAGAAUUUCCAGUGUAGAGGUGAAAUUCGUAGAUAUUGGAAAGAAUACCAGAAGCGAAGGCGACUAACUAGGCCAUUUUUGACGCUGAGAUACGAAAGCGUGGGUAGCAAACAGGAUUAGAUACCCUGGUAGUCCACGCAGUAAACGAUGAGUGCUAGUCGCUGGUGCAAUAGUAUCAGUGUCGAAGCUAACGCAUUAAGCACUCCGCCUGGGAAGUACGGUCGCAAGAUUAAAACUCAAAUAAAUUGACGGGGGCCCGCACAAGCGGUGGAGCAUGUGGUUUAAUUCGAAGCAACGCGAAGAACCUUACCAGACCUUGACAUGGUAUGUUUGAAUUACAGAAUCGUAAUUCUUCAGUUCGGCUGGCAUACACACAGGUGCUGCAUGGCUGUCGUCAGCUCGUGUCGUGAGAUGUUGGGUUAAGUCCCGCAACGAGCGCAACCCUCAUUUUUAGUUGCCAUCAGGUUAAGCUGGGCACUCUAGAAAAACUGCCGGUGAUAAGCUGGAGGAAGGCGGGGAUGACGUCAAGUCCUCAUGGCCCUUACGGUCUGGGCUACACACGUGCUACAAUGGUGGUGACAGAGGGCAGCAAUAUCGCAAGAUAAAGCUAAUCCCAAAAAACCAUCUCAGUUCGGAUUGGACUCUGCAACUCGAGUCCAUGAAGUUGGAAUCGCUAGUAAUCGUAGAUCAGCGUGCUACGGUGAAUACGUUCUCGGGCCUUGUACACACCGCCCGUCACGCCAUGGGAGUUGGUUUUACCUUAAGCCGGUGCGCUAACCGCAAGGAAGCAGCCGUCCACGGUAGGGUCAGCGACUGGGGCGAAGUCGUAACAAGGUAGCCAAGGG